GUUAUAUACAUAUACACAUUCAUGGAUCUGCAAUCUGUCGAUACAUGUAACUUGUCAUUGCACAAGGUCAUGUUUUUCUCUAACUGUUUAUGACGUCUUUACACUAAAUCCAUUGGAUGUUGGAUGUGUACGGAUUGAUAGUUUAGUCUUAGAUGCAUGCUUUUUUUUAUUCGUUGUUAGUUGCUUUGAACCUGCUGUCAGAUAACUGCAAGUACUCUCAGAUCAGGUGCUACUGUCUUUUUGUUGGCCACGACUACUUGUAUUUUCGUCCAUCUGAUGAGUUAAGCCUAUUUCAAGUGAUUUUUAUAGUUCGUUUUUAUGUUGUACUGU
rnacentral:lncRNA from 1 species